rnacentral:rRNA from 1 species
GAUGAACGCUGGCGGCGUGCCUAAUACAUGCAAGUCGAGCGAACAGAUGAGGAGCUUGCUCCUCUGACGUUAGCGGCGGACGGGUGAGUAACACGUGGAUAACCUACCUAUAAGACUGGGAUAACUUCGGGAAACCGGAGCUAAUACCGGAUAAUAUAUUGAACCGCAUGGUUCAAUAGUGAAAGACGGUUUUGCUGUCACUUAUAGAUGGAUCCGCGCCGCAUUAGCUAGUUGGUAAGGUAACGGCUUACCAAGGCAACGAUGCGUAGCCGACCUGAGAGGGUGAUCGCCCACCCUGGAACUGAGACACGGUCCAGGCUCCUACGGGAGGCAGCAGUAGGGAAUCUUCCGCAAUGGGCGAAAGCCUGACGGAGCAACGCCGCGUGAGUGAUGAAGGUCUUCGGAUCGUAAAACUCUGUUAUUAGGGAAGAACAAAUGUGUGAGUAACUAUGCACGUCUUGACGGUACCUAAUCAGAAAGCCACGGCUAACUACGUG